AUUUCUCUGAGAUGUUCGCAAGCGCCAGUCCCUGAGCCGAUAUUUCAUACCACAAGAAUGUGAGGCUCCGCGGUUGGUGAGCAUGCUCGGUCCGUCCGAGAAGCCUUAAACUGCGCACGACACAUUCACCUUGAACCAAGGGUUCAUAUUACAGCCCUGCGGCGGCAUCUCGGAGAUUCC
rnacentral:other from 1 species